rnacentral:rRNA from 1 species
GAGCGAACGGACGAAGAAGCUUGCUNNCUCUGAUGUUAGCGGCGGACGGGUGAGUAACACGUGGAUNACCUACCUAUAANACNGGGAUAACUUCGGGAAACCGGAGCUAAUACCGGAUAAUAUUUUGAACCGCAUGGUUCAAAAGUGAAAGACGGUCUUGCUGUCACUUAUAGAUGGAUCCGCGCUGCAUUAGCUAGUUGGUAAGGUAACGGCUUACCAAGGCAACGAUGCAUAGCCGACCUGAGAGGGUGAUCGGCCACACUGGAACUGAGACACGGUCCAGACUCCUACGGGAGGCAGCAGUAGGGAAUCUUCCGCAAUGGGCGAAAGCCUGACGGAGCAACGCCGCGUGAGUGAUGAAGGUCUUCGGAUCGUAAAACUCUGUUAUUAGGGAAGAACAUAUGUGUAAGUAACUGUGCACAUCUUGACGGUACCUAAUCAGAAAGCCACGGCUAACUACGUGC